rnacentral:rRNA from 1 species
UGGGGAAUAUUGCACAAUGGGCGAAAGCCUGAUGCAGCAACGCCGCGUGAGUGAUGAAGGCCUUCGGGUUGUAAAGCUCUGUCUUUUGGGACGAUAAUGACGGUACCAAAGGAGGAAGCCAACGGCUAACUACGUGCCAGCAGCCGCGGUAAUACGUAGGUGGCAAGCGUUGUCCGGAUUUACUGGGCGUAAAGGAUGCGUAGGCGGAUUUUUAAGUGAGAUGUGAAAACCCUAAGCUUAACUUGGGGACUGCAUUUCAUACUGGAAAUCUAGAGUGCGGGAGAGGAGAAUGGAAUUCCUAGUGUAGCGGUGAAAUGCGUAGAGAUUAGGAAGAACACCAGUGGCGAAGGCGAUUCUCUGGACCGUAACUGACGCUGAGGCAUGAAAGCGUGGGUAGCAAACAGGAUUAGAUACCCUGGUAGUCCACGCCGUAAACGAUGAGUACUAGGUGUAGGAGGUAUCGACCCCUUCUGUGCCGCAGUUAACACAAUAAGUACUCCGCCUGGGAAGUACGAUCGCAAGAUUAAAACUCAAAGGAAUUGACGGGGGUCAUAGCUGUUUUUCCU